GACGAACGCUGGCGGCGUGCCUAAUACAUGCAAGUUGAACGCUUGAUUUUCACCGAAGCUUGCUUCACCGAAAAUCAAGAGUAGCGAACGGGUGAGUAACGCGUGGGUAACCUACCUAUCAGCGGGGGAUAACUAUUGGAAACGAUAGCUAAUACCGCAUAACAAUGUUGGAUGCAUAUUCGACAUUUGAAAGUACCAACUGGUACACUGAGAGAUGGACCCCGCGUUGUAUUAGCUAGUUGGUAGUGUAAUGGACUACCAAGGCGAUGAUACAUAGCCGACCUGAGAGGGUGAUCGGCCACAUUGGGACUGAGACACGGGCCCAAACUCCUACGGGAGGCAGCAGUAGGGAAUCCUCGGCAAUGGACGAAAGUCUGACCGAGCAACGCCGCGUGAGUGAAGAAGGUUUUCGGAUCGUAAAACUCUGUUGUUAGAGAAGAACGUUGCAUAGAGUGGAAAUUAUGCAAGUGACGGUAGUCUAACCAGAAAGGGACGG
rnacentral:rRNA from 1 species